rnacentral:rRNA from 1 species
UGAACGCUAGCGGCAGGCUUAACACAUGCAAGUCGAGGGGUAGAAGCAGCUUGCUGCUUUGAGACCGGCGCACGGGUUGCGUAACGCGUAUACAAUCUACCUUUUACAGAGGGAUAGCCCAGAGAAAUUUGGAUUUAAUACCUCAUAGUAUUUUCGAAUCGCAUGAUUUGAUUNUUAAAGUUGAGGCGCUGUAAGAUGGGCGUGCGUGCUAUUAGCUAGUUGGUGAGGUAACGGCUCACCAAGGCUACGAUAGCUAGGGGGCGUGAGAGCGUGGCCCCCACACGGGUACUGAGACACGGACCCGACUCCUACGGGAGGCAGCAGUAAGGAAUAUUGGACAAUGGUCGAAAGACUGAUCCAGCCAUCCCGCGUGCAGGAUGACUGCCCUAUGGGUUGUAAACUGCUUUUAUAUGGGAAGAAUAGCAUAGAUUCAUCUGUGUAUGACGGUACCAUAUGAAUAAGCACCGGCUAACUCCGUG